UCGAGGAUCUUCGGCAAUGGGCGCAAGCCUGACCGAGCGACGCCGCGUGGACGAUGAAGGCCUUCGGGUUGUAAAGUCCUGUCGAGGGGGAUGAAAGCGCAAGCUUGACAUAUCCCUGGAGGAAGCACGGGCUAAGUUCGUGCCAGCAGCCGCGGUAAGACGAACCGUGCAAACGUUGUUCGGAAUCACUGGGCUUAAAGGGCGCGUAGGCGGCUAAUCAAGUCCGGGGUGAAAUCCUGCAGCUUAACUGUAGAAGUGCCUUGGAUACUGGUUAGCUCGAGGGAGGUAGGGGUCUGUGGAACUUCUGGUGGAGCGGUGAAAUGCGUUGAUAUCAGAAGGAACGCCGGUGGCGAAAGCGACGGACUGGAUCUCUUCUGACGCUGAGGCGCGAAAGCUAGGGGAGCAAACGG
rnacentral:rRNA from 1 species